AGUUAAGUAAUUAAGCGUGCACAGUGGAUGCCUAGGUAGUCAGAGGCGAAGAAGGACGUGCUAAUCUGCGAAAAGCGUCGGCUAGCUGAUACGAAGCGUUAUUAACCGGCGAUAUCCGAAUGGGGAAACCCGAUACAAUUUUGUAUCAGCAUUAAAUGAAUUCAUAAUUUAAUGCAGCAAACCAAGAGAACUGAAACAUCUUAGUAUCUUGAGGAAAAGAAAUCAACCGAGAUUCCCUCAGUAGUGGCGAGCGAACAGGGAACAGCCCAGAGCAAUUGCAACACGUAUGCUAUAAGAAUAGUAUGGAAAGACUAGCAAUAAAGAGUGAUAGCCUCGUAUUUUAAAGCAUACAAAAUUGUAGCUCUUAUGAGUAAAACGAGACACGUGAUAUCUUGUUUGAAGAUGGGGGGACCAUCCUCCAAGGCUAAAUACUCCUGACUAACCGAUAGUGAACUAGUACCGUGAGGGAAAGGUGAAAAGAACCCCGGCGAGGGGAGUGAAAUAGAACCUGAAACUGUGUACGUACAAGCAGUAGGAGCAUUAAAACAACAAUGUGACUGCGUACCUUUUGUAUAAUGGGUCAGCGACUUAUAUUUUGUAGCAAGGUUAACUGUCAUAAGGGAGCCGUAGGGAAACCGAGUCUUAACUGGGCGUUAAGUUGCAAGAUAUAGACCCGAAACCCGGUGAUCUAGCCAUGAGCAGGUUGAAGGUUAGGUAACACUGACUGGAGGACCGAACCGACUAAUGUUGAAAAAUUAGCGGAUGACUUGUGGUUAGGGGUGAAAGGCCAAUCAAACCGGGAGAUAGCUGGUUCUCCUCGAAAGCUAUUUAGGUAGCGCCUCGUGCAUUCAUCUUCGGGGGUAGAGCACUGUUUCGGUUAGGGGUCUUAUCCAGACUACCAAUCCGAUGCAAACUACGAAUACCGAACAAUGUUAUCACGGGAGACACACGGCGGGUGCUAACGUCCGUCGUGGAAAGGGAAACAACCCAGACCGUCGGCUAAGGUCCCAAAGUCAUAAUUAAGUGGGAAACGAUGUGGGAGGUCUUAGACAGCCAGGAUGUUGGCUUAGAAGCAGCCAUCAUUUAAAGAAAGCGUAAUAGCUCACUGGUCGAGUCAACCUGCGCGAAAAAUGUAACGGGGCUCAAAUUAUGCACCGAAGCUGCGGCAAUAAUUUUUAAAAUUAUUGGGUAGAGGAGCGUUCUGUAAGCUUGAGAAGAUAUAUUGUAAAAUAUAUUGGAGGUAUCAGAAGUGCGAAUGCUGACAUAAGUAACGAUAAAGCAGGUGAAAAACCUGCUCGCCGAAAAACUAAGGAUUCCUGUUCAACGUUAAUCGAAGCAGGGUAAGUCGACCCCUAAGGCGAGGCCGAAAGGCGUAGUCGAUGGACAACAGGUUAAUAUUCCUGUACUAAACAUAGUUGUGAUGGGGGGACGGAGCAAGCUAAAUUCGCCAGGUGACGGUUAUCCUGGUUCAAGCAGGUAGGUGGAAAAGUAGGCAAAUCCGCUUUUUUUAACAUCGAGAUGUGAUAACGAAUCACUGUUGAGUGAUGAAGGAAUCUACGCUAUACUUCCAAGAAAAUCCUCUAAACGAUAUAAGCUAUGUUUAAUCGUACCUCAAACCGACACAGGUAGUUUGGUAGAGCAUACUAAGGCGCUUGAGAGAACUCAGGUGAAGGAACUAGGCAAAAUAGUGCCGUAACUUCGGGAGAAGGCACGCUGAAAUAUAGUGAGAAAGCUAGCCUUUUAAGCUAAAAUCAGUCGAAGAUACCAGCUGGCUGCAACUGUUUAUUAAAAACACAGCACUGUGCAAACACGAAAGUGGAAGUAUACGGUGUGACGCCUGCCCGGUGCCGGAAGGUUAAUUGAAGAAGUUUACCCUACUACUUUGUAGGGAAAUGCUUUUGAUCGAAGCCCCGGUAAACGGCGGCCGUAACUAUAACGGUCCUAAGGUAGCGAAAUUCCUUGUCGGGUAAGUUCCGACCUGCACGAAUGGCGUAAUGAUGGCCAGACUGUCUCCACCUGAGACUCAGUGAAAUUGAAUUCGCCGUGAAGAUGCGGUGUACCCGCGGCAAGACGGAAAGACCCCGUGAACCUUUACUAUAGCUUGAUAUUGAAUCUUGAACAUUAACGUGUAGGAUAGGUGGGAGAUAAUGAAGUAUAAACGCCAGUUUAUAUGGAAUCGUCCUUGAAAUACCACCCUUUAAUAUUUAAUAUUCUAAUUCUGACCCGUAACCCGGGUCGAAGACAAUGUCUGGUGGGUAGUUUGACUGGGGCGGUCUCCUCCUAAAGAGUAACGGAGGAGCACAAAGGUUAGCUAAUCACGGUCGGACAUCGUGAGUUUAGUGCAAAGGCAUAAGCUAGCUUAACUGCGAGAGUGACAAUUCAAGCAGAUGCGAAAGCAGGUCUUAGUGAUCCGGUGGUUCCGAAUGGAAGAGCCAUCGCUCAACGGAUAAAAGGUACUCCGGGGAUAACAGGCUAAUACCGCCCAAGAGUUCAUAUCGACGGCGGUGUUUGGCACCUCGAUGUCGGCUCAUCACAUCCUGGGGCUGUAGUAGGUCCCAAGGGUAUGGCUGUUCGCCAUUUAAAGUGGUACGCGAGCUGGGUUUAGAACGUCGUGAGACAGUUCGGUCCCUAUCUGCCGUGGGCGUUGGAAGAUUGAAAGGAGCUGCUCCUAGUACGAGAGGACCGGAGUGGACGUACCUAUGGUGUACGGGUUGUCAUGCCAAUGGCACUGCCCGGUAGCUAUGUACGGACGAGAUAACCGCUGAAAGCAUCUAAGCGGGAAGCUUCCCUUAAGAUAAAUCUUCCCAGAAACUUUUAUGUUUCCUAAAGGGACGUUAAAGACUAUGACGUUGAUAGGUCGGAUGUGUAAGCAUUGCAAGAUGUUUAGCUAACCGAUACUAAUGACCCGUGAGGCUUAACUUU
rnacentral:rRNA from 1 species